CCCAGUCAGGUGUGAGGGGGAGAGCUGGAGACAAAGGAGCUACAGAUCUGAACAUCCAGUGAGCUUGGAGCCACGAAGCUGUCAUGCACUGAACUAUAAAUGGAAUUGGCCAGGUGACCCUUUUUAGGGUUAAAAGAUGGCGAGCUUCUGAGAACUGGCUGGGGCCAGGAGAACCUGAGAUUUACUCCAUACUGGUCUGGUAGGAGGCUGUUGGUCUGUAUUUCCCCCUCCAUCUUACCAUUCGGACACACAAUUCACUAUUCAUCUCUUCAUCUGAAAAAACUUGCGCUUGGACAUUGUCAUC